GUCCCUAAGGGGCAGCCUCUCGCGCCUACUCCAGACGCGAGUGCAUUCCAUCCUGAAGAAAUCCGUCCACUCCGUGGCUGUGAUAGGAGCCCCGUUCUCACAAGGGCAGAAAAGAAAAGGAGUGGAGCAUGGUCCCGCUGCCAUAAGAGAAGCUGGCUUGAUGAAAAGGCUCUCCAGUUUGGGCUGCCACCUAAAAGACUUUGGAGAUUUGAGUUUUACUCCAGUCCCCAAAGAUGAUCUCUACAACAACCUGAUAGUGAAUCCACGCUCAGUGGGUCUUGCCAACCAGGAACUGGCUGAGGUGGUUAGCAGAGCUGUGUCGGAUGGCUACAGCUGUGUCACACUGGGAGGAGACCACAGGUACCACAACUCCCAGGAUUUUCCUGGAUCAAACCUUGUAUCUCUUCUGCAAGUAUUGUGUAUAUUGGUCUGAGAGACGUGGACCCUCCUGAACAGU
rnacentral:sRNA from 1 species